rnacentral:sRNA from 1 species
GGCUAGCCCUGACAGAAGCGGUAUCCUUUUUAGCCGCUUUUUUUUGCGGAUAAAAAGAUAUAGCGGAUGGCAGGAGUGUCG